UACGAAGGGGGCUAGCGUUGCUCGGAAUGACUGGGCGUAAAGGGUGCGUAGGCGGCGGGGCAAGUCUGAUGUGAAAUCCCGGGGCUCAACCCCGGAACUGCAUUGGAUACUGCCUUGCUUGAGUACUGGAGAGGAGACUGGAAUUUACGGUGUAGCAGUGAAAUGCGUAGAUAUCGUAAGGAAGGCCAGUGGCGAAGGCGAGUCUCUGGACAGUUACUGACGCUGAGGCACGAAGGCCAGGGGAGCAAACGGG
rnacentral:rRNA from 1 species